GUCUCUGUAGUAUAUUCAUUACCCUGGUCUUGUAAAUCAGAAAAGGGAGUAACUCUCCCCAAAGACU
rnacentral:tRNA from 1 species